GGGUGAACUUAGGUUUCCCUUUGCAGGACAAAGGCACACACCCCCCGCCAGCCCAUCCUGGGAACGCCACCCCGGGAGGCCUGCUCCCACCAGGCGUUCAAAGCCCACAGUCUGUCUCGCUGGCUGCAGCGGGGCUGGCCCAGGGCAAUGCCGUCCUCUAGCUUUGGAAUCCAAUGACCCACCCAGGGCUCUGAGCCCCGUCACCAAAGAUGCAGCGUCUCCAAGGGCAAGUGCGUGUCCCUCCCACAAACGGACGUCUUGUCACGUGACUGCUCCGCUCCGGGGGGACUCGAGUUUCCCUCGCCUGGGCAAGCCCUUUCCCAGAAGGAAAAAAAGGGGGGGCGGGGGUCAGACUGCUUGCUGUUCCUCGUUUUCCACGUAAACGUGCUCACCUCGGCCUCCUGCCAACGACAGCGGGACAGAGGCAGCUGAAUUUCAGCAGGACGAGCCUCGGCCUUCAGGGCGCUGGGGAACCUUUUCUUGCAUUUGUUUUAUCUGGUGGGACUUGCGACAAGGAACGAAUUCGUCGACAGCUUUAAGGGGUCUCCAGGCAAGCACCUUUUGGUAAAGUCUCCCAACAGCCCAGAGUCCGACACACGGGAGAACGCUGGCAUUGGGGCUGAACCCAAGCCGUGACCUUCGUUCAGAAUGUGUGCAACGACGCCCCGGGGGCCGGGUGCUGCCCCAAUCCUAUUCCAGAGGAGCGCCCUGCGGCCUGAGACGGCACACUGUGCACGCACGGAGCUUAUGACCUGCAGGAGCCCAGACUCGAAGCCAGGUGGACCCCUCUGCAGAGCCCACAACCCUCACCGCCACAGCUGGACAGCUCCCGGGUGGAGAUGGAGAAGGCUGGCCAGCCCCUCCCACCUCCCUGUGCUUGCUUCCUCCACCCCCCAGCAGGCUCUCUCUCUCUCUCACACACGCACACGCACACGCAUGCUCGCACACACACUGCCCUCCUGCCCCCUCAAGCCAAAAUGACCCUCAGCUUCACCACCUCCUGCCUCCCAAUCGAAAUGUUCCUUUGGGUCCUGCGAUUCGGGCGGAGAGCGAAGGGAAGAGCUGGGCCCCCACUGGGGGUGGGAACAAGUAGCCCGGAGGAAGGGGUAUCCGACGGGGACCUGGAGCGCGCACGGGCGAGAGGCCCAGAAAGCAGAGGAAAGGGUUUUCCAGGCGGAGGACCAGGCGCGUGCAGACGCAGGGCGCACCCCGUGGCUGGCCCAGACGUCCCCGCCCUGCACAGUGCCCCUCCCCACGGGACUUCCCUUCUCAGCGGCGGCUCCACCAGCCACCCUGGUGCAGGAGCCACAAAUACCGACAGCACUCUGGCACCUGCCCACUCGUCCGUCCAAACUGUCACCAGAUCCCCCUAAAUAUAGCCCGAGUCUGCCCACUCCUCUGCCUCAUCUUCGCUGCCGCCACCGGCCUUCCGACACCCACCCCCACCUCGUGGGCUAUCGUCACCGCCUCCUGACAGGCCCCCGCAGGGGGGUGGGCUCCCUGCUUAAAGCUGCUCUCCGGGGCUCGGCCCAAACCGUCUGCCCCAA